CAAUAGCGUAUAUUAAAGUUGUUGCGGUUAAAAAGCUCGUAGUUGGAUUUCUGCUGAGGACGAUCGGUCCGCCCACUGGGUGAGUAUCUGGCUCGGCCUUGGCAUCUUCUUGGAGAACGUUGCUGCACUUGACUGUGUGGUGCGGUAUCCAGGACUUUUACUUUGAGGAAAUUAGAGUGUUUCAAGCAGGCGCACGCCUUGAAUACAUUAGCAUGGAAUAAUAAGAUAGGACCUUGGUUCUAUUUUGUUGGUUUCUAGAGCUGAGGUAAUGAUUAAUAGGGAUAGUUGGGGGCAUUCGUAUUUAACUGUCAGAGGUGAAAUUCUUGGACUUGUUAAAGACGGACUACUGCGAAAGCAUUUGCCAAGGAUGUUUUCAUUGA
rnacentral:rRNA from 1 species